rnacentral:rRNA from 1 species
UAAAGGGCAACUUUUAGUGAGUGGCGGACGGGUGCGUAACGCGUAAGAAUCUACCUUUUGGAGGGGGAUAACAUCGGGAAACUAAUGCUAAUACCCCAUAAUACUGAGGAGUUAAAGCAGCGAAAGCUGGCCAAAAGAGGAGCUUGCGUCUGAUUAGCUAGUUGGUGGGGGUAAAAGCCUCCCAAGGCCACGAUCAGUAGCUGGUUUGAGAGGAUGAUCAGCCACACUGGGACUGAGACACGGCCCAGACUCCUACGGGAGGCAGCAGUGAGGAAUUUUCCGCAAUGGGCGAAAGCCUGACGGAGCAAUACCGCGUGAGGGAAGAAGGCCCGUGGGUCGUAAACCUCUUUUCUUAGGGAAGAAACAAUGACGGUACCUAAGGAAUAAGCUCCGGCUAACCCCGUGCCAGCAGCCGCGGUAAUACGGGGGGAGCAAGCGUUAUCCGGAAUGAUUGGGCGUAAAGCGUCUGUAGGUGGUCUGAAAAGUUUCCUGUCAAAUCCCAAGGCUCAACCUUGGCCAGGCAGUAAAGUACUUUCAGACUUGAGUGCGGUAGAGGUAGAGGGAAUCCCUAGCGUAACAGUGAAAUGUGUAGAUUUUAGGGAGAACACCAGCGGCGAAGGCGCUCUACUGGGCCGAGACUGACACUGAGAGACGAAAGCUAAGGGAGAGAAUAGGAUUAGAUACCCUAGUAUUCUUAGCUGUAAACGAUGGAAACUAAGUGCUGCCGAACGCAGUGCUGUAGCUAACGCGUUAAGUUUCCCGCCUGGGGAGUACGCUCGCAAGAGUUAAACUCAAAGGAAUUGACGGGGGCCCGCACAAGAGUGGAUUAUGUGGUUUAAUUCGAUGCAACGCGAAGAACCUUACCAGGGUUUGACAUGCUCAGGAUUUUUCAGAAAUGGAAGAGUGCCAGAAAUGGAGCUGAGUCACAGGUGGUGCAUGGCUGUCGUCAGCUCGUGCGUUGACGUGUAUGGUUAAGUCCUGCAACGAGCGCAACCCUCGUCUUUAGUUAAAUUCUCUAAAGAGACUGCCAGUGCAAACUGGAGGAAGGUGAGGAUGACGUCAAGUCAGCAUGCCCCUUACACCCUGGGCGACACACGUAAUACAAUGGUUGGGACAAUCAGAGGCGAUCCUGCGAAGGCUAGCGAAUCUGUUAAACUCAACCUCAGUUCGGAUUGGAGGCUGCAACUCGCCUCCAUGAAGUCGGAAUCUCUAGUAAUCGCCUAUCAGCCAUGAGGCGGUGAAUACGUUCCCGGGCCUUGUACACACAGCCCGUCACAUCAAGGGAGAAGAUUCUUCCCAAAGCCGGUAGUCUAACCCUUGGGAGGGCGCUGACAAAGGAAGGGUUUUUGACCAUGAUGAAGUCAUAACAAGGU